rnacentral:lncRNA from 10 species
GCUCAGCUCCUGGAACUCCGGACAAACAACUACCAGCUUUCAGAUGAACUACGCAAGAAUGGUGUUGAACUCACCAGUCUUCGACAGAAGGUCGCCUACUUGGAUAAGGAGUUCAGCAAAGCUCAGAAGGUACCUCCCUCCACCCACCCAUCCACCUACCCAUCCACCCUUGCUUCUACCUAUCUGACUCAUUCAUCCCUCCAGUGAGCACCUACAGUGAACCAGACCUAAUGUUGCAUGCUGUUUUCACGUAGUCAUUUAAAGGAUUCUCAAUGGAAUUCUCUUUAGUUGCUAAUUUUACCUAAUCCUGCUUAAUUUAGUGAUUAAUUUUAAUUUACUUUUAAUUCAUUUCUAAUUUCAGUUACUCAUUCUCAUUCACUGACUUUUAAUUAA